rnacentral:rRNA from 1 species
UACGUAGGGAGCAAGCGUUGUCCGGAAUCAUUGGGCGUAAAGCGCGCGUAGGUGGCCAUUUAAGUCCGCUGUGAAAGUCAAAGGCUCAACCUUUGAAAGCCGGUGGAUACUGGAUGGCUAGAGUACGGAAGAGGCGAGUGGAAUUCCUGGUGUAGCGGUGGAAUGCGCAGAUAUCGAGGAGGAACACCAAUAGCGAAGGCAGCUCGCUGGGACGUUACUGACACUGAGGCGCGAAAGCGUGGGGAGCGAACAGGAUUA